rnacentral:rRNA from 1 species
UAGGGAAUAUUGGACAAUGGAGGCAACUCUGAUCCAGCCAUGCCGCGUGGUAGAUGAAGGCCCUCUGGGUUGUAAAUACCUUUUAUCUGGGAAGAAACCUCUCUUUUCUAGGAGAGCUGACGGUACCAGAGGAAUAAGCACCGGCUAACUCCGUGCCAGCAGCCGCGGUAAUACGGAGGGUGCAAGCGUUAUCCGGAUUCACUGGGUUUAAAGGGUGCGUAGGCGGGCUAAUAAGUCAGUGGUGAAAGCCUCGAGCUUAACUUGAGAACUGCCAUUGAUACUGUUAGCCUUGAAUGUGGUCAAGGUAAGCGGAAUGUUGCAUGUAGCGGUGAAAUGCUUAGAUAUGUUACAGAACACCGAUAGCGAAGGCAGCUUACUGGGCCGUUAUUGACGCUGAGGC